AGCUAGUCGGUGAGGUAAAGGCUCACCAAGGCGACGAUCUGUAGCGGGUCUGAGAGGAUGAUCCGCCACACUGGAACUGAGACACGGUCCAGACUCCUACGGGAGGCAGCAGUGGGGAAUUUUGGACAAUGGGGGCAACCCUGAUCCAGCCAUGCCGCGUGAGUGAAGAAGGCCUUCGGGUUGUAAAGCUCUUUCGGCCGGGAAGAAAUCGUAUGGGUUAAUACCCUGUGCGGAUGACGGUACCGGCAUAAGAAGCACCGGCUAACUACGUGCCAGCAGCCGCGGUAAUACGUAGGGUGCGAGCGUUAAUCGGAAUUACUGGGCGUAAAGCGUGCGCAGGCGGUUUUGUAAGACAGGCGUGAAAUCCCCGGGCUCAACCUGGGAACUGCGCUUGUGACUGCAAGGCUAGAGUACGGCAGAGGGGGGUGGAAUUCCACGUGUAGCAGUGAAAUGCGUAGAGAUGUGGAGGAACACCAAUGGCGAAGGCAGCCCCCUGGGUCGAUACUGACGCUCAUGCACGAAAGCGUGGGUAGCAAACAGGAUUAGAUACCCUGGUAGUCCACGCCCUAAACGAUGUCAACUAGGUGUUGGGUGGGUAAAACCAUUUAGUACCGGAGCUAACGCGUGAAGUUGACCGCCUGGGGAGUACGGCCGCAAGGUUAAAACUCAAAGGAAUUGACGGGGACCCGCACAAGCGGUGGAUGAUGUGGAUUAAUACGAUGCAACGCGAAAAACCUUACCUACCCUUGACAUGUCCAGGAGCCUGAAGAGAUUUGGGUGUGCCCGAAAGGGAACUGGAACACAGGUGCUGCAUGGCUGUCGUCAGCUCGUGUCGUGAGAUGUUGGGUUAAGUCCCGCAACGAGCGCAACCCUUGUCGUUAAUUGCCAUCAUUUAGUUGGGCACUUUAACGAGACUGCCGGUGACAAACCGGAGGAAGGUGGGGAUGACGUCAAGUCCUCAUGGCCCUUAUGGGUAGGGCUUCACACGUCAUACAAUGGUCGGUACAAAGGGUCGCCAACCCGCGAGGGGGAGCCAAUCCCAGAAAGCCGAUCGUAGCCCGGAUCGUACUCUGCAACCCGCCUGCGUGAAGUCGGAAUCGCUAGUAAUCGUGGAUCAGCAUGUCACGGUGAAUACGUUCCCGGGUCUUGUACACACCGCCCGUCACACCAUGGGAGCGGGUUCCGCCAGAAGUAGGUAGCCUAACCGCAAGGGGGGCGCUUACCACGGCGGGGUUCGUGACUGGGGUGAAGUCGUAACAAGGUAGCCGUAGGGGAACCUGCGGCUG
rnacentral:rRNA from 1 species